UUAUCCGUAGCAGUACUGUUCUGCUGAUAGCGCGGAGGGGAAAAAAAAAUGGCUGCUUCGCUUCCUCAGCUCUGUCCAUUACAGACCUCUAAACCUCUGCUUUCACAACCAUCUUUCGGCCUCCAUCCCUCCUCCCGGUACCCUUUAUCUAGAACCAAAGAAUCCCGGUUCAAAUGCUCAGCUGGUCAAACAGGAUUCUUCACCAAACUAGGUCGUUUACUUAAAGAAAAAGCUAAGAGUGAUGUGGAGAAAAUCUUCUCUGGAUUCUCGAAAACCCGAGACAAUUUGGCUGUAAUUGAUGAGCUUUUACUCUAUUGGAACCUCUCUGAUACUGACCGGGUUCUUGAUGAGCUUGAAGAGGCAUUGUUGGUGUCCGAUUUUGGGCCAAGGAUUACUAUAAAGAUCGUGGAAAGUCUGCGAGAUGAUAUAUACGGAGGGAAGCUCAAAUCAGGAAGCGACAUAAAAGAUGCUUUGAAGAGGAGCAUCUUGAAUUUCUUAACUAGUAAAGCACCCAAAACCGAGCUUCAACUUGGAUAUAGGAAACCAGCUGUGAUAAUGAUAGUUGGCGUCAAUGGGGGUGGGAAGACAACAUCUCUUGGAAAGCUCGCAAAUAGAUUGAAGAAAGAAGGUACCAAGAUAUUAAUGGCAGCAGGUGACACAUUUAGAGCAGCUGCAAGUGAUCAACUGGAGAUUUGGGCUGAAAGGACAGGUUGUGAGAUAGUUGUUGCUGAAAAAGAGCAUGCCAAGGCAGCUACAGUUCUUUCACAGGCUGUGAAAAGAGGGAAGGAACAGGGUUAUGAUGUUGUUUUGUGUGACACAUCUGGGCGGCUGCAUACAAAUUAUAGCUUGAUGGAAGAAUUAGUGGCUUGCAAGAAAGCUUUAAGCAAAAUAAUACCUGGUGCACCCAAUGAAAUCCUUCUUGUACUGGAUGGGACAACUGGUCUAAAUAUGCUUCAACAAGCAAGAGAAUUUAAUGAGGUUGUAGUGGUAGCCUGAAAGAUUUUUCAAGAUAUUCCAGUAAGUAUGACAACGUGGAGGGAAUGCAUACAAAUGAAAACUUCAUGCGUUCCAUCUGGUUUCCUACUACCAAUAGGAUUAAAGCACCUAUUGCAUCAUUAAUUUGUUGCAAAUCCUAGUCCAAGGAGCAUGUUUUGUUCCUCAGCAUAGAAAUUUAGUCAUGAUAAUUCUAUGAAGGAGGUUAGCCCCUCACCAGCAUGACUUCUUGAGUGAGAUGACCAUUUAUUUUGACCUCAAUUUCCUGGGUGUAGAUUUCAGGUUAUGAGGCUUUAAAGUGAUUGGACAUGGAUUUUCUAGAUAGGCCAAGCCUAUGUUAUUCGAUAUGCAGUACAACUAAUAACAGUUGACCUGGUUACACUGAUUGGACUGAUGCGAUUACUUUGGAAUCUUUUCUAGAAUACAAUAUUUUGUAAAGGGACUGAAAAACUGCGGUUUUGAAGAAUAAUUCAAUCAUGAAGAUGGGUUAGUCAACUUGUUUUAGACAUUUGUUCAAGCAGAAUGAUGUUGCUGGGUUUAAAAUGAGACUAUAUAUGCAGGCUUGGGUUAUACAGCUUCUCUUAAACGCUUUCCUCUCAACCUUUGCAGUUUUCUUUUCUCUUUUUUUAUAGAUAAGGGAUGGGUGAGAAGGGUUGCUCUUAAAAGCUGAAUCUUUGAUUCUCUAAUCAAACUGAGUCCAAGCAUUCUUAAGGGGGAUUAGAGAGUACAGUUUAUUUUUCUCUUGCGUGUCUAUACAUCCUGUCUGUUCACUGAAUCUUACUUUUGCAAUUGGACUAAAUUUUGGUACCAGGUUGUUGGAGUAACUGGUUUAAUAUUAACAAAGCUUGAUGGUUCUGCCAGAGGUGGCUGUGUGGUGAGUGUAGUUGAUGAACUUGGAAUUCCUGUGAAAUUUGUUGGUGUUGGUGAAACGGUUGAAGACCUCCAACCUUUUGAUGCUGAGGCAUUUGUCAAUGCAAUAUUUCCUUGAGAGCCUUGUAGGGUAAGGACUUGAUAUUAAAUAUGUGUAACUGCUUUUUGGUCUUCAAGGAUCAGAUGCUCUUUCUCACACAGAUACAUUCGAGUCUUUACUUCUGAUAUCUUGUUAAUUUAUUCGAGUCUGAAAAAUUGUUAGGAUGCUGAUGAUCCAAAUCUUUCAUCUGAAUUAUCGUACAUGGAGAUCAGAUAUUUAGCCGAAUAGUCUUGUACUGAUUGUCUACCGGCUUAGUUAAUUCUGCUCUUCUCCAAAGUCGCUUUCUCUGCAUCCAAAUGUUAGGAAAUGCAAGCUCUAGCAUAUUCACGCAUCUUGUAAGAUUUCCUUCUCUCUUUCAAAGAACAGCUUUUGCCUUUCUUCUAACAACA